rnacentral:rRNA from 1 species
CCCGCUGAACUUAAGCAUAUUAAUAAGCGGAGGAAAAGAAACUAACAAGGAUUCCCCUAGUAACGGCGAGCGAAAAGGGAAUAGCUCAAAUUUAAAAUCUCCGGUCCCUCGGGUCGGCGAAUUGUAGUUUUGAGGGGUGCUCUCUGGCGUUGGGCUGGGCCUAAGUCCCUUGGAACAGGGUAUCAUAGAGGGUGAGAAUCCCGUCUGUGGCUCGGACUCCGACCCUACAUGUGGCAACCCCGAAGAGUCGGGUCGUUUGGGAAUGCGGCCCCAAAUGGGUGGUAAACUUCAUCUAAAGCUAAAUACCGGCGAGAGACCGAUAGCGAAAAAGUACCGUGAGGGAAAGAUGCAAAGAACUUUGAAAAGAGAGUUAAAAAGUGCUUGAAAUUGCUGAAAGGGAAGCGCUGGAGUACCAAUGCUGCGGCGGGCAUUAUCAACCAAGGGUGGAUUCGCACGCUUGGAGCGGUGACCGUAAGGCGCCGCCUUCGCGCGUCGGUGUUCAUCCCGGGUGCACUAGUGUCCGUCGCGGUCAGCGUCGGCUGGUUUUUUUCGCCUGGGGGAAAAUGGUGGCGGGUAAGGUGGUUCCCUUCGGGGUCCGUUAAGACCGCUGCAGAUACCCCGGGUCCGGCCGAGGAAGGGAGUAAGCCCUUUACGGUGCGCGCCUAGCGAGGCGCCCGGGCGCUGGUUGUUGCGUGCGGGGAUGGGGAGCUAAGCUGCCCGCUCCAAUCGUGAUGCCACCCGCCUGUGGAUCGCCGUCAGUCGCGCCAAAGACGCUGGCAAAAUGGUCUUCAUCGACCCGUCUUGAAACACGG